UACGGAGGGUGCUAGCGUUGUUCGGAAUCACUGGGCGUAAAGCGCGUGUAGGCGGCCUGUUAAGUCUGAUGUGAAAGCCCGGGGCUCACCCCCGGAAGUGCAUUGGAAACUGCCAGGCUCGAGUCCCGGAGAGGAGGGUGGAAUUCCUGGUGUAGCGGUGAAAUGCGCAGAUAUCAGGAGGAACACCGGUGGCGAAGGCGGUUCUCUGGGCCUGUACUGACGCUGAGGAACGAAAGCGUGGGGAGCGAACAGG
rnacentral:rRNA from 1 species